UCCAUAGCUACAAUCAAAACAAAAGUAUAGAACGCAAUAAAUAUUUGAUUCUAAUCAUAUGUGAAGCUCUUUUGCCAUUCCCAAUUCCUUUUCUCACCUGAAGAACAUUAACCAAAUGAAAGUAAGGUUAGCUGAAAGGAGUCAUAGAAAAUGUAAAUAACACAACCGUAUAAAAAAAAUCUUACAAGUAAAUAAAAUACCUAUGUAUAGGUAUUCAUGUUAUUAUCUCAAGGGACUUACUUGUUACUAAAUAAAUUAAUAAAGUAUAGGUAUUCAUGUUAUUGUCUCACGGGAGUUACUUGUUACUAAAUAAAAUACCAAUGUAUAAGCAUUCAUGUUAUUAUCUCACGGGAAUUACUUAAGGGCAAGUUUUCUAUGCUUUCCCUAGAGCAUAGAUGUUUUAUCCUCCCCUUAUCCAACCGUCCAUUCUGAAUGGAGGGUUAAGAUUGUCCUAAUCACAAUGUCACAUCUAUACUAUUUUAUUUUUAAUUUUUUCUAUGAACUAUUUUAACACCAAAUUUUGGACCUCCAUUCUUCUAUUAAACUCGCACUAACGAAAAAUAUAAAAAACUAUUUUCAAUAAAAUAAAAUGACCAAAAUACCCCUUAAAGUAUUAUUUUGGUGUUAUAUUUUAUUGAAAAAGUAUUUUUAAUAUUUUUUUAUAGGUGUGUUUCAAUGAGAAGAUGGCAGGAACCAAUUUCAUAUUUAUACAAUUUGUAUAAGAAAAAACUAAAAAUAAAAUAUUUUAAGACAUAGUACCAAGUUUGGUGCAUUUUAUGUCAUUUACUUUUAUCUCUCUCUCAUAUAUUAUUGAGAUGAUAAAUAGGUGCCUGAUUUUCUAAUUAUUUUUCAUAGCUCUUUCUCCCUCUUGUUUCCCUAAACUCUCUCUCUCUCUCUCUCUCUCUCUCUCUCUCUCUCUCUCUCGUACGUACGUACGUACGUACGUACGUACGUACGUACGUACGUACGUUACGUACUACGUACUACUAACUACUACUACUACUACUACUCUACUCUCUCUCUCUCUCGUCUCUACGUACUACUACGUACUANNNNNNNNNNNNNNNNNNNNAUGAUAAUAGUAGUACUCGAUUACUUAUAUUUACUAUAUCUCUUCUCCUCCUUCUUCCUACUACUCUCUCUCUCUCUCUCUCUCUCUCUCUCUCUAUGGUCACAGGUUUAGAAGUCCUAGAUCUAUGCCUAAUUACAUAACUUAGUACAAUUCCAUUCUCUCUUUGUGCCUCCCAUCUCAAGUGCUCUCUAGAAUUUGAAAUCUCUUAUUUAAAAUGUAAUUUCCUAUGCUGUACAAUAAAUAAUAUUUUUAAUUGGGUGUGGUUUGUAUAAGACUGAGGACCUAAACAAUCGAAGUAAGGUGCAUCUUGAGAUAGCGUCGAACGUUGUUAGUCAGUAUUUGGAGAUCUUUGUGAUGGUCUGAAAAUUUUAUUUUUAUUUCUAAUUAUAAAAUUUGAAACUUCAAAAAUAGUGUAGAUUGAGCAAAUCUAUGAACACUUGAAAAUCUUGAACAUUGAUGUUCCAAACAAUAGAUUUCAAGUAAACUAUUUUCAAACUGAAAAUUCAUUUUUUCUAAUGUUCAUACAUCUUGUGAUCAAAAUGAUUGAUUUGAGGAUUUUUGGGCAUCGAAUCAACCUCUUGUAAUGAAUUUUUGAUGUGAGCCUUAAUUUAAUUGUUUAGGGUCUUGCCGUUAUAUAAACUUUUCCUUUUUAAUUAAAAUCUUGGAAAUCAAUUUCAUAAUUUUUUGCUAUACAUUGGAAAUUCUAAAAAGGGUUGAGGAAUCCAAUUAGGUUAUAUUUGCAUAAAUAAUUAAUUAUAAAAUACAAAUACAAGUUAUAACUAAAAAGAAAAUUAAAUUUACAAUUAGAGCUUACAUGUUUCUUUUGAUGGCCCUAGCCUAAAUAUACCAUACAACAUACAACAGAUUAGCAAUAAAGGUUCGGAAAUAAAAGAAAUGGCUCCAGAAAGGAACAUGCGAGUUCUACAAGAGUUAUUCCCAUAAGUCAACCAUAGAAUCCUAAAAAAUAAGAAAUAUACUACAAAGCCAUUCAUUUUUUAGUACUAAGAAGUCAUAAUCAUGUUAGAUUAGAUCGACGAAUUUAAUACUAAGAGGUCAUAAUCAUGUUAGAUUAGAUCGUAAAAUUAAAUUCGUCAGAUGUAUAAAAAAUUUUAUUUUGAGUUUUUGUGCCCAAUCAUUUAUAUAGCCCCAGCUGGCUGUUCAUAUCUAAUGACCAAUGAUUGUGGUCUCCUUAUGCGAAGAAGAUUAAACAGUGUAAACUUUUCCUUAAGAACAAAGAAACUGGCUAAAUUUUCCCAAAAAAACUCUCUUUCAAUUUUAGUUUUGCACUUUUUUUUAUUUCACUCGAAGCAAUAGGGCACUUAGGAUCGGCUCACACUCGUGAAGAUCAUUAUUUGCAAAAGUUUUUAAAAUUAUUGAAGAAAGAGAAUACCACCAUGACUCCAUUAAAUGAAGGCCAACUCUUGAGAAUGGGGGNNN
rnacentral:lncRNA from 1 species